GCGAGAGGCUGAACAUUCCUGCCAAAUGAGCACUGCUGCUCUGACAAACGCCAUGUCACGAUAGCGACAUACCUCUUUCUCUCUCUCACACGCACGCUCUCUCCCUCUACAUAAAUAACAGCCAUUUCUGUCUGAAACCAGCCCUGGAGGACUCAGCCCUUGGGGCAAUGUCAAAUCCCCAUGGUUACUACAAUGCAGAAACUGCCUCUUUCCUGUGAUGAUGAUGAUGAUGAUGAUGAUGAUGAUGAUGCUGAUGAUGAUGCUCAUGAGAUGAAAAGGAAACAGACCAUCCAGCUUAGUUUGUUGGAAGAACCAACAUGUGACAAUCCUCUCCCAAACCUGUUGUUUAAAAAAACAAGAUCAUCUGAUUUCUAUUUUGUGAGUCUUUACGCAAAAUGUUCAAUCUGUAAAUCAAACCUUCAGCAUGAUGCUCAAGUGAUCUGUUCAAUGAUUAAAUGCUCUCACUGCACCACUGCCUUCAGCAGCCAUUCAACUAGUACUGCAGUUUAUGAUUCUUCUUACCUUUGACUUGAGUCUCGUACUCAGUAAUGAUCUCUUUAUCCUUUUUGAACUUCACUGGAGGAUUCGACAUUUUCAACAGCGAUUCGAGUUCAGUUCCGAGAAUGUUUGUAAACUGGUUUGUUUUGGGGGCUGUUCCGAUUUCCAGAUCUCCCUACAGCGGCCAGUGCAUCCCAGAGAUUUUUCAAGUUGUUCAGGCUAAAAAAAAAAACCCAAAAGCCAAACGCCGCAAAUGUUCCUCUCCCGAGUUCCCAACGCGAUUCCGCCGUCGGUGCGAUCAAAACACAGCGCGCACUGGAAGAGUUUCCUCCCAAACAAGUAACCCUUUCCUUGGGCAAAUGUCCACUGCUUGUUCCAGCAAAAGGCAAUCCGGUCCUUCAAACUGUCUUUUAGUCACCCGCCGACGGAUCUGGACAGACUGAGCAGCAUAAUGACUGGCGUGGUUUUCUGCACACUAUCCUCGUGUCCGUGGGUCUGCUCGCCGGACAGUUUCACGGAUCCUGACUGACCUCAAAGCAGCUGGAAAAGCAAGUGGUUGGAAAUGGGAGGGAUUGGAGGCGGAGGGGGUGCACGUAGCGGAAAUGUGGACCGGACUGACAACUUUUCUAACCACCAGUAAUUUUCUUUUGUAGUAGUUAACGUUACAGAGUAACGUUAGACACUUAAAAACAUAAGAUCUCUAUGCUUAUAAACAAAUCAAAACAGUUUAAAAAACUUAUUGUGAAAUGUGUUGUGUUUUAAAUAUUGAUAUAUAUACAAAUCGUUUUAUUAUAAAUCAUUCAAAAGUGUAUAUGAGUUGUAAUUAUAAUGUUUUAAAGUAAGCCAUUUGAAUAUUUUUAACGGUUUUUAAGAACUCGUUUUUAAGAACUGUGACGAACACGUCGUGUAGGACGCCUAGUGGCCAGUGUUUGGAAUUACAUGUAAAUAAAUCACUUGCCUCUGUGACUUUCUAAGAGAAGAAAUUCUGUUCCGGUUCAGUUGACGGCGAUCAUAAGAUAAUUUCAGAUUUUAUCAAAAAAUAUAUAUAACCAGUUGAAGCAGUGUCACACAGUCAGAGAACAAUUUAAUGCAAUUUGGACUUUUACUGUCUAUUCACAGAGAUUUUACAGGGGGAAAAAUGUCAUCCUUAAACUUCAUACAUAUUAAAUAAAAAUGUUAUUUAAUAUAAAAUAAAAUAAAAACAUGCAUUUAAAUUUAGUUUUAUUAGUUUUAGUUUUAUUUAUUUUUCUACUUUAUAAAAUACAAUAUAUAUAUAUAUAUAUAUAUAUAUAUAUAUAUAUAUAUAUAUAUAUAUAUAUAUAUAUAUAUA